UCCUCUCCUCUUAAUUCCCAUCAAUCCCAUCAGUUACCAAAACCGAAGCCAUCAUAUUCAGCGCCUCCAUCUUCUCUUCCAUUCACGUAGCACUCUUGCCCUCUUCCUUCCUCUCUCUCUAAGAACUCUCCCUGAACUUUGAAGCUCCAUAGACGCCGGUGCUCGUUCCGAGUGAUGUAGACUAUCUCCAUCAGCUCCCUUGCGCCCUAAGGUUCAUCUCCACACCAUGAAUCCAUUCAGAGAAGAAAGAACGUGAUCCGUCAACCACACACGGAGAAUUCUGCAUGUCCGUGUACACUGUUCAUCGAGUUCAUCGCACUAUUUUGUCAAACUCGGUGAGCACUUCUUCAAUUCCUUUUGCAGGCUUACUUUCCUAGAACUUGUUCCUCUGUUAGACAUCAUGUUUCAGCCCUGCCUUGUCAUUGGCUGCGCGCAUCCAAAAUCAAAGGCCAUCUGACGACUUUCACGCGUUUCUUUAUUUUUGUUUGUCAUAUGAGUUCAUGUCCCACAGAUGAAAUAUUCGCUAGGAUCUUCGUAACCCCAUGGAGGUGUUAGAUUACUUGUUUGGUCAAUCGGAUGUGGUGUAUGUUUAUUGUUUGUUGAUCGGUGAUAUUUUUGUUUGUUUGUUUACUACAUUAUUUAUCAUAUGCUCAUGACAUGUCUAUGAGUCGCUCCUAAUUAUUUCAUAAUGUCAGGAGUAAACUAUGAUUUAAUAGAUUUAUUUUACUUUUGUUUAAAUUGUUGAAAUAGAUGUACGUUGUCUGGCUCGACAAUUUUUGAUAGUAUGUAUUUUUUGUUUUGUGCAUGCAUACUAAUUUUUGUGAACUACAUGUUUAUUCUUUCUAUUUUCAUCUAGAUUUUGUAUGAGUGACUAGAUAUUGUCGAUGUGUUGUUUAACUAUUUUAAUUCUAAUAGCAUGCAAAUAUGUUAGCUAUGGCUUCUAGAAUCACUCUCGAAUAUGUUGCAUGUGUGUUCUAUAGAUUAAAGUCAUGCCAUGCUCUAGGUUGUUGAUCAUGUUGAUAUUUUUGUUUCAUGCCGUACGAAGUCGUAUGACAUGCCUACGAAUAUACUAGGUUUUUGCAAUUUAUUACCAUGUGUAGGUAAAUGUAAGAUUGUUCUAAGAUUUGCUUGAUUUAUUUAAUUAUGGAAUAGUUCAUGUUUGAUCAUUUUCAUUUAUUUUGUUUAGCACGGCGAUCUCGGAUAUGGUUUACAUAUUCAAUUUCAUCCAUGUCACAUUUUGUUCUAUUGGUUCAAAAUCUUUGUGAUGUCUAGAUGGAUGUUCAUUUUCGUACAUGUUGUUGCAUAGUUCGUUUAUGCUAGAAUUCAAAUGAAAUGAUUCUUGUUUGAGAAUAAACCCGAUGUGGUUCUUGUCGCAUAACAUAUUAUUGCCUAGGUCAGUUCUUUCUUAUAGAUGUUUGGUAUGUUAUAUAAUCGCUAGUGUGUACUUUUUGAUCGCACAUAUGGUUAGCCUUUUCCUGUUAGAGAUACAUGUUACCAGUGUAUGAUCUCCUAUGACUUAAGUUUGAUCCUUGAUCAAUACCCCGCAUGAUGAUGCGACUGCAUAACUAGAUUGUAUAGCAUGUGUGUACCAGUUCAUGUAUUAGAUCAUGCCUAGUGGUGUAUCUUAUGUCUUUGGAACUAUAGAUUGUAACAAAUAAAGGUGCAUGUCAUUUUCACUCAUGCUAGUAUAGUACAUUACUUGAUGUCAUGAUCUAGUUGUCUAACUUGCCUAAAUGAUUAGUAUGACAUGUCCAUGUGCUUAUAGGACUAACUAUGUCCAUGUGUUUAUAUGAGAUAACUAGUAUGUAAGGUUGUGUGCUCUUGCCAUUCUUGAUAUUCAUGUUAGCUGAUAUCAACUAAGUUAUCUCAUUUUGUGAGCUAUAUUCUAUCAGUACCAUACUUUGGCAUCUCGUGUGAUGAUCAUUCAUACUUAGUGUUAUACAUUGUAUCUAAUUAUUGCGUUGUUGUGUAUCUAGAUGUUGUUCAUGCAAGUGAUCUUUCAUGUUUUAUGAUGUUCCAUGUGUUAUAGUUGCACUUGUGUUGCUCAUAUGUGCUUGACUUGUCUCAUGUUAGUGUUAUGAGUGUUUGGCACAUGUUGCAUUAGCUCAUCACAUGAUUAGGAUAGUUUAACUUUCAAUAGUUGAGUUGUCUCUUUCUCAUAUGCUUAGUGCACAUUGUUGCUUUGUUGUGAAUCAUGUUGUCGUAAUCUUGUUGACAUAGGUCAUUUUUAUAUUAGUUGUUUCCUUUAUUAUAAAGAAUGUCCUAGUUUAGUAUCUUCUCAUGGUCAUUCAUAUAUUUAAUGCUUCUGUUAUUAGAUAAGACCUCUUCAGGAUUCUAUACUCACAUGCCUUGUAUGAUGUGUCUGAUUAUUUAAUUUUCCAAUUAGUUUUAUGAUAGCAUUGGUUUGUAUUUUGUUAUAGAAAUGCUUACUAAUAGUUGUUAUGAUUGAUGUUUAGUCUUUAAUUGUUAUUAACCAUUAUAAUCAUUUAGAUUCAUCCAAAUAAUUACUUGUGGUUAAUAUUAAUCUUAACCAUAUCAUGUUUCUGAUAGUUUUCCAUCCAUCUAUUCCAUGUGUUGUAUAGUUUCUUGUUAAUUGUUUGACAAAUGAAUUGGUUUGAUUUAAUGGAGUGGAUCCUAUUAUGUUUUAAUAAUGUUUUAGGUCUAGACCUACAUCAAUUCAAUUCAUUUUAUGUAAUGAUAUUUGAUUGCUUAACUAGUAUGGUCUAUAAUGUUGGUUUGGUCGUCUUAUGCAACACUUGAUUUUCAGUUAUUAUAUAGUUGAUGUAUAUGCUUGGUUGCAACUAACCAUUAUAAAUAUUUAGAUUCUAUCGAUCUAAAUAUUUAUCAUGGUUAACUUUCACCUUUAUCAUGUCAUGUAGAGUUUGUGCAGUUAAAAUGCAUAGGAUGUUUCCAUUCUAUGAGUGCUGAUGUCAAUGUGUUUGUUAUAUGGUAGUUUUCUACAUGGUUAGUCGAGAUGUGUGGUGGGCACUACUAGUUCAUAACAGAACUUUAGUCUUGAUUGCAAAGCCUUCGUCAAUUGUGUCAGCUUAACCUUGUCCCUUCGUUGAAUCAUAUCUCUUACCUUCCUAUCAUGCUACCUUGUUCUGGAAUAUCCAUCUUGAUCAAUAUCUUAUACAUCCACUUAAUUUGCUUUCGAUUUGGAUUUACUAUUGCUUUGGUAUUUAUUGUUUGUCUUUUGCUAUCGUUACAAUGAGUAGGGAGUGACGACGAUGUUGGAGAUGGACAAAACCAGGUUAUCAAAGAAGGACUCAACAACGAAGGCAUGCCUCCUUCUUUGAUCAUACUUAUCCUAUGUUUACAAAAUUGCAUUGUGUUUUAUGUUUCUAUAUGCAUGCUGUUUUAAUUCUUGUAGCUAGCGUGUCGAUUGACACAUUACCUUGAUCUGCUUGUCGCCUAUUCAGUUGACACCUGAUUAGAAUUAUAGUAUUCUGGUAGAGUAGAAAUGCUUAGCCAUGCUUAUUACCCUAUAGGUGCUUGUUGAAUGACCUUUGAGUCAUUGACACUUGGAACUUAUCGCUGAGCUAGGACGACUGGCCCUUGUUGAUCUCCUCUACUCUCUUCUACUCUGGGUGAAACUUACCAUCUGAAUACUGGCGCGGGCGAUAGCUGAAUCAAGGAUUGAAGGAGCGAUUGGCUGCCCUUCACAGGUUGAAGGGGGAAAUCAGUCGUCCGUGCCGCAUGAGGCCUAAUAAGUCUUGGAUUUGAAUAUUGUGAUAACAGUAUAGCCACAUGCUAUAUGGGCACUAGCUUGGUUGAUUAGUUAGUUCACCCUUAUUGUUGUCAUCGUCGUACCGCAGACGGGAUAGCUGCCUUCCAAGGAGUAUCCUUGGCACAAUAGGGGGGGGGGAGACUGUGAACUGCGGUUACUUCCGUGUUGAAACCUAGUGGGCUUGGCACAGUAAGUUUGGUCUAAUGAAAGACCUUGUCACAAUCUCCCUGCUGGUAUAUUAAAUGGUGUACUAUGCUAGAGAUGGCUAAUGGCAACAAGUCGGGAUUGUGUCGUAUGGGUAAAGUGUACAACCUCUGCAAAGUGUAAAACUAUUCGAAUAGCCGUGUCCAUGGUCAUGGACAACACAUGAAUCUUUCUUGACGUACAGGACCUGCCUUGCUUAUUCCCUCUUUGCGCCUAUUCUUGGAACCUAUGAAGAGUGUGAGUUGAUCGAGGAUCCUCACUUAAUGAAAGUUAUUCUCGAGACAAAACAUGUUUUCAUCUAAAACUGCUAUAUCCAAGUACUAUGUUAUUUCGAACAAAAUUAGCUUGUAUGCAAAUGAGCCAUACAUCCUUCCUUUGAAGCCACAUGUAGCUAUUAGGUCCUUCCCCGUGGGAGGCAUGUUGAGUACAUAAUGUAAUCAUGGCAAUAAUUUUGUUGACAACAGAGUUCCAUGAAGACGAAGGUGAUGGUUACAGCUACUAUGGCGAUCCGUAGGAGUGAGGUCACGUGGACUACAUCGACUGCCUCUGGCUGAGAUGGAGUCACUACGCAUUGUACUUUCCGCUAUUUUUCUGAAUGUAAUAAAUGUCAUGAGACAGUUCGCUAGGUAUGUCUUGUGACAAUAUAUACUACUUGUAAUACUUUAAUGUAUUGUGAAAUGAUACCAUUUCACUGUGUUGUCAACAAUGAUCCUGGGGUUGACAAAUAUACACAGG
rnacentral:lncRNA from 1 species